AUGGAGAGUUUUCAUGACUACAAGAUGGUGAAUAACCGUUCUGUGGUUGAACAAGCUCAUGAGAUACAGUGCAUUGUGAAGGAACUUGAACUCCUUAAAUGUGUUCUACCCGACAAAUUCGUGGCUGGGUGCAUGAUUGCAAAGUUGCCUCCUUCAUGGAGGAAUUUCGCCACAACUCUGAAGCAUAAGAGACAGGAGAUAUCAGUUGAAAAUCUGAUUGCAUCUCUUGAUGUUGAAGAAAAAGCUCGGGCUAAAGAUACCACUGAAAAAGGAGAUGAGUUUCAAUCAUCUUCGUGGUGGAUUGAUUCGGGUGCUAACGUUCAUGUGUGUGCUGACAUCUCCUUGUUUACUUCUUAUCAGGUCGCAAGGGAUUCUUCCGUCCUAAUGGGGAAUGGGUCACAUGCUUCUGUUCGUGGCAUUGGCACGGUGGAUCUGAAGUUCACUUCGGGAAAGAUCGUGCAACUAAGGAACGUGCAGCAUGUCCCUACUAUGAACAAGAAUCUAGUUAGCGGCUCCCUUCUAUGUCUAGAUGGUUUUAAGGUAGUUUUAGAGUCCAAUAAAGUAAUCGUGUCAAGAUUUGGACAAUUUAUAGGAAAAGGCUAUGAGUGUGGAGGCUUGUUCCGCUUUUCUCUUUCAGAUUUUUGCAAUAAGUCAAUAAACCAAAUUUGUGCUAGUGUUAAUGAUGAUGCAAGUAUUUGGCAUUCUCGUUUAUGUCAUAUUAAUUUUGGUUUAAUGUCUCGGCUAUCCAGCAUGAGUUUAAUUCUGAACUUCACAGUUGCCAAAGGUUCUAAGUGCCAUAGUUGUGUGCAAUCUAAGCAACCUCGAAAGCCUCAUAAGGCUGCCGAGGAGAGAAACUUGGCACCUCUAGAACUCAUACAUUCUGAUCUUUGUGAGAUGAAUGGUGUGUUGACAAAAGGUGGAAAGAGAUAUUUCAUGACUUUGAUUGAUGAUGCGACUAGAUUUUGCUAUGUUUAUUUGUUGCAAACUAAAGAUGAAGCAUUAGACUACUUUAAAAUCUAUAAAGCUGAAGUUGAAAAUCAACUAGAGAGAAAGAUCAAGCGUCUUAGGUCCGAUCGUGAUGGAGAGUAUUUUCCAAAAGUUUUUGAUGAAUUUUGUGAGGAACAUGGUAUUAUUCAUGAGAGGACGCCUCCCUAUUCACCUCAAUCAAAUGGAGUGGCCGAGAGGAAAAACCGCACAUUGACUGACUUGGUGAAUGCCAUGUUAGACACUGCUGGUUUAUCUAAGGCAUGGUGGGGGGAGGCUCUAUUAACUUCAUGUCAUGUCCUGAAUAGAGUUCCCAACAAUAAUAAAGAGAAAAUCCCUUAUGAGGAGUGGGUUGGGAGAAAACCAUCACUUUCUUAUUUGCGCACUUGGGGAUGUUUGGCAAAGGUCAAUAUUCCUAUUCCUAAGAAAAGCAAACUUGGACCAAAGACAGUGGAUUGUGUCUUUCUAGGGUAUGCUCAACGGAGCAUUGCUUAUAGGUUUUUAGUGGUAAAAUCUGAAGUACCUGAUAUGCAUGUUGAUACUAUAAUAGAAUCUCGUGAUGCAACAUUUUUUGAGAACAUAUUUCCUAUGAAAGAUAUGCAUAGCAUUGCUAGAUUUUCUUCUGAGAUAAUUCCUGAAUCUAGUACAACUGAUGAAUAUUUCGAACAAUCACAUGAGGAAGUCCUUGAGAAGGAUAACAAUGAAGUUCCUAGAAGGAACAAGAGACAAAGGAUUGCAAAAUCCUUUGGUGAUGAUUUCAUUGUAUACCUUGUGGACGACACACCCAAGAUGAUUGCAGAAGCAUAUGCAUCUCCGGAUGUAGAUGAUUGGAAAGAAGUUGUUCAUAAUGAGAUGGACUCAAUUCUUUCUAAUGGAACUUGGGAACUAACUGAUAGACCAUAUGGUUCAAAAAAAUAA
rnacentral:rRNA from 1 species